AACUCUGUUUCACCGAGCAGAGCAGGAGAGAAAGGUUCGAUUUCAGUUUCAAGAUCUGAUCUGCCCCAAUAUGUUUCCGGGCCCCUUACGAUGAGAAGAGGAAGAAAGUUUUCGAUCUUGAAAGAGCAGAGCGUCCCCGAUCUCUCUGGUCGUAGCCUCGCCUCUGCUGGAAGGAAUCAGCCACCGAGCCCCUUUCCCCCGAUCAGAAGCAGGGGCGGUGCAGAGACCCUCUCUUCUUCCUUCUCGGAUGGAAGCAGGAGAGCAGAUCUCCACUGUUCGGCCUCCUUUUUCCCGAUUAGAAUAAAGAAGGAAGAGACAACCCCUCUUCUUAUUCGUGUAAGAGGAAGAAGGAGAGUAGAGAGUGCGACCUUCCUCUUCAUCGUCCAGCGGUGAAGAGCGCCGACCGCUGGAAGAAGCAGCCACCGAUCGCCAACAGCUUUCGUCGACCGGAGACCUCAGGGAGAAGGCCAAAAAGAAGAAGAGGACGCCGAAAGGAAGAUCACCUAAUGUCAUCAACCAUUUAAUUAUGAGUAUGGCCUCAUGAUCAUCAAGAGGGAGGAGGAAGAAAUCUACAAUUAUCUCUUGGUCCUGCAACAACAGUUUCACCUGCGGGCACCUAUGAUCACACUUCAAAAUCCGUCCGUUGGCGACCUUAACGACAAACCUGCUGCAAUUCUCAAUAGGUAAAUUCAUAUAGAAAGCAACCUUACUUUUUAAGAAGUUAUUUUUUAGGAAGUUAUUAGUGCUGCUCGUGUCGAUGAGAACAGUGAUCGGUUGUUGUUUGAGAAGGCUUCCAACUUUCAUCGUUUGUGGGAUUGAGUAGCCAACUAGUGUAUGUAUCGUAACUUUGGUCGGUUGUGGCUCUUCUUCUGCA